UAUGGCAUACCACCCUGAAGGCGCCUGAUCUCAGAAGCUAAGCAGGGUCAGGUCUGGUUAGUUCUUGGGUCGGGGGAGAUGACUGAAGACCUGGAAGCCAUCC
rnacentral:rRNA from 1 species